rnacentral:lncRNA from 1 species
GCAUUCGACCCCGGCGCCCGUAGCAUGCCACUCUGACUGCCACAGGGUGACGUCCACACCCAAGUUAAUUCUUCAAUUAGCGUGAGCCAGAUAUUCCGGGAAGAUCGGAGGGCCCGCCAAUCGAUGUCCAAUUAGCGAGGCUUCGUGGCCCGGGGGGUCUGAGCCUGUCACAGCCUCGGCCAAUCGCAGCCUGCGUUAGAGGUGG